rnacentral:tRNA from 1 species
GCCGAGGUGGUGAAAUUGGUAGACACGCAAGCCUUAGGAGCUUGUGCCUUUAAAGCGUGGAGGUUCGAGUCCUCUCCUCGGCACCA